rnacentral:rRNA from 1 species
CCUACGGGGGGCAGCAGUAGGGAAUAUUGCUCAAUGGGGGAAACCCUGAAGCAGCAACGCCGCGUGGAGGAUGAAGGUUUUCGGAUUGUAAACCCCUGUCAUUUGGGAGCAAAUUAAAAAGAUAGUACCACAAUAGUAAGAGACGGCUAACUCUGUGCCAGCAGCCGCGGUAAUACAGAGGUCUCAAGCGUUGUUCGGAAUCACUGGGCGUAAAGCGUGCGUAGGCUGUUUCGUAAGUCGUGUGUGAAAGGCGCGGGCUCAACCCGCGGACGGCACAUGAUACUGCGAGACUAGAGUAAUGGAGGGGGAAGCGGAAUUCGCGGUGGAGCAGUGAAAUGCGUAGAUAUCGAGAGGAACACUCGUGGCGAAGGCGGGUUCCUGGACAGUAACUGACGCUGAGGCACGAAGGCCAGGGGAGCGAAAGGGAUUAGAUACCCUAGUAGUC